UUUUUUUUUUUUUUUUUUUUUUUUUUUGGCCAGGUUUAUUAUGUAGUCCUAGCUGCCCAGACACUUGUCGUGUAGCCCAGGGUAGCCUGGAACUCAUGACAAAGCUCUCACCUUAGCCUCUCCAGUACAGUUUGAAUGGGCUACAUUUUUCUUUUCUGUGGCCAAACUGUCUUAUUCCGAGGCUGGAAAAUGGGCAGGGGCUGAAGAGAUCAAGAGGACCUGACAUCCUCAGGGUAGAUGUUUUUGGUGUCUCGUCACUGCUGAAAGCUGACUAAGGAGUCUUGAGGGUGGGAAUGUUGAUGGAUGCUUUGGUGUGCAGUGCAGUACUCUUUGAAGAGACACCGAAACUAGCAGGUGGACAUUAUUAUUUGUUUUAUAAAUGGCAUUUAAUACUUUGUCCUGUGCCACAGUUACAAGUAUUACAGCAAGAAUCCAAAUUCGACGCCAAGUGCAGGCUUGCUUGCUUUUGUGUUUUUUGUUUUUGUUUGUUUGUUUGUUUUUGAGACAGGGUUUCUCUGUGUAGCCCUGGCUGUCCUGGAACUCACUCUGUAGAUCAGGCUGGCCUUGAACUCAGAGAUCCGCAGGCCUGUGCCUCCCAAGUGCUGGGAUUAAAGGCGUGCUGCGCAGACUUGCUUUCUUAGGGAACAUAGUAUAAGAGCACACUUGAGAAAGCUCUCAGGGACUCCUGAGCAAGCGGUUUGAUUAGCUGUUUUCUAGAAGUCAGGGUUUCUAUUCCUGCUUAAACAUCAUGACCAAGAAGCAGUUGGGGAGGAAAGGGUUUAUUCAGCUUACACUUCCAUGUUGCUGUUCAUCACCAAAGGAAGUCAGGGCUGGAACUCAAGCAGGUCAGGAAGUAGGAGCUGAUGCAGAGGCCAUGGAGGGAUGUUUCUUACUAGCUUGCUUCCCCUGGUUUGUUCUGCUUGCUUUCUUAUAGAACCCAGGACUACCAGCCCAGGGAUGGUCCCACCCACAAUGGCCCUUCUCACCCUUGAUCGAUCACUAAUUGAGAAAAUGCCUUAUAGCUAGAUCUCAUGGAGGCAUUUCCUUAACUGAAACUCCUAUUUCUGUGAUAACUCCAGCCUGUGUCCAGUUGACACAUAAAACCAGCCAGUUCAGGUGUUAUUCCAGGCUUUUUCAUUUGUGUGGUUUUUAGACACAGGAAAUUAGAAAUGAGGCCAUCUGAGGUUCAUGGCUUGACUACAAGUCCCCUGGUAACAUGAGUUGUGGAUAGGCUUAACUGGAAGGUUGUUUUGUUUUCCUGAAGAGCGCUCGCUGUCAGCCCAAGUGAUAACAGCAAAGCUUCCAAAAGCCUUUGGUGCUCUACCUUACUGUGCUUAGCGAAGGCUGGGGCAAAUCAGAGCGGGGAAAGCAGAUGCCGCUGUGCAGUCAGCUUCAGAACUCAGUUACUUUGGAUACUUGAUUUUAAUGACUUUCAGGACU
rnacentral:lncRNA from 1 species